UACGGAGGAUGCAAGCGUUAUCCGGAUUUAUUGGGUUUAAAGGGUGCGUAGGCGGCACGCCAAGUCAGCGGUGAAAUUUCCGGGCUCAACCCGGACUGUGCCGUUGAAACUGGCGAGCUAGAGUGCACAAGAGGCAGGCGGAAUGCGUGGUGUAGCGGUGAAAUGCAUAGAUAUCACGCAGAACCCCGAUUGCGAAGGCAGCCUGCUAGGGUGCGACAGACGCUGAGGCACGAAAGCGUGGGUAUCGAACAGG
rnacentral:rRNA from 1 species